rnacentral:rRNA from 1 species
CAGUCGCCGCGGGAAUACGGAGGAUCCGAGCGUUAUCCGGAUUUAUUGGGUUUAAAGGGUGCGUAGGCGGCCUAUUAAGUCAGGGGUGAAAGACGGUAGCUUAACUAUCGCAGUGCCUUUGAUACUGAUGGGCUUGAAUGUACUUGAAGUGGGCGGAAUGUGACAAGUAGCGGUGAAAUGCAUAGAUAUGUCACAGAACACCGAUUGCGAAGGCAGCUCACUAAAGUAUGAUUGACGCUGAGGCACGAAAGCGUGGGGAUCAAACAGGAUUAGAUACCCCCGUAGUCCCUGUCUCUUAUAC